rnacentral:rRNA from 1 species
GUGCCAGACUCCUACGGGAGGCAGCAGUGGGGAAUAUUGCACAAUGGGGGGAACCCUGAUGCAGCGACGCCGCGUGAGUGAAGAAGUAUUUCGGUAUGUAAAGCUCUAUCAGCAGGGACGAAGAUGACGGUACCUGCAGAAGAAGCCCCGGCUAACUACGUGCCAGCAGCCGCGGUAAUACGUAGGGGGCGAGCGUUAUCCGGAUUCACUGGGUGUAAAGGGAGCGUAGACGGCCAUGCAAGCCAGGGGUGAAAGCCCGGGGCCCAACCCCGGGACUGCCCUUGGAACUGCAUGGCUGGAGUGCGGGAGGGGCAGGCGGAAUUCCUGGUGUAGCGGUGAAAUGCGUAGAUAUCAGGAGGAACACCGGCGGCGAAGGCGGCCUGCUGGACUGCGACUGACGUUGAGGCCCGAAAGCGUGGGGAGCAAACAGGAUUAGAUACCCGUGUA